UUGUCAUGGAUCCCUGUCCACCUGUGUCUUGCUAUCUCAUUAGUUUCCCAGUGUAUUUAGGCCCUUGUGUUUCUUCCGCUCUUUGCUGUGUCAUGUUGGUUUUCAAGCUCAUGUUGUUCAAGUUCCUCAAGCUGCUUUUCUGCCCUUUUGAGUUUUACUCAGCCACUCCAACCUCAGUGUGUCCUUCUCCGGUGUCCGUCUGUUCCUCUCCGGCUUCUCCCUCACCAGCAUCAUCCACAGCCACCUCGUCCCUGGGAGCCUGUUCCGCUUGGGUGGAUCAUUUCCAAAUCUCGUGGCAGAAGCUCCCUGAAGAGUUACUGCAGAGUUUGGAAAGGCAGAGAAGACCUAGUCCGCGACUACGCCGAGAGAUGGUAAGGGUUGUGGUCUCGGAGAUUAUGAAGGUGUCUAAUAAUCCAACCAAACGCAACACUACAGAGAUAGGCAAAAGAAUGGUGGCCAAGUAUCCAAAAUCCUUACAGGAUGUCAUUGAGGGUGAUGUUAUUGGACCAGGAUACCAUUCGCUGGUAAAGCAACUCCAAGCCCGAAAUGAAAAUGUUAAACGACCCAACACACCAAAAAUAAUGAAACGCAAGGCCGCACCAGAUGAUUAUGACACGGAGGAAGUUCCAGGAACAAAAAAAAGGCAGUGUUCAAAACACGUAUGGCUGUGUCAACUGGGAGCUGAAAUAUUUGCCACUGUCCGAGACUGUGGAGAGUCAGGAAGAAAAAAAAGAAAAGAUGAAGAAGAUGUUUGAAGAGAGAAACAACAAUACAGACGAUGUGAGAACAUUAGUACAGUCCACUUAUUACACACAGCGUGAGUGCAUCAACAAAGAGACAAGCAUGAACACACUCGGCACAAGUGUGACCCUUUGUGUUCAGAGAAGUUGGUAUGGCAGCACACUUCCAAGAACUUACUGAUGUGAGACUUCCUCAAAAGUGUUGCUGCACCAAAAAACAAAGAAGUCCUGGAUGCUCUGAUCAAGUUUCAGACUGAGAAAGGCCAGUCUGGUGGUUGUUCAGAAGACAUCAUACAGAUGGUAUGUCUCUUACUGACUCUUUUUGGUGAGAAGGAAGAUUACCUGUUCCAUUUCGUCGAGGAUGCAUGCCUGGCCCAAGAGGUUCAGAUGGAGAAGUUGCCGGCAACCCCCUGCAUUAUUGUGUGUGGAUUUUUUUCAGCAGCGGGGGCAGGCUCUGAGGCGAGCCAUGGCGGCGUAAACAAAUGACACUUGACUGCAGAUUUUACUUUUACAACCUAUUUAUUGAAUGGCCAGUUGUUGAAAAUGGCUGAAUGUACAAAUAAAAAAUAAAUAAAACAAUAAAAUUAAAUAAAUAUAAAUAAAAACAAACCAUAAUUUCUUGCUGUAUCAGUGGCAAAGUGUGCUCCCAGGCUCAGAACGAUUGAUUUCUCUGGGUUUUUUAUAGAAGAGCUCUAAGUUCUUAUGUAUGGAAAUUCUCCAAGAGGUGGCCCGCUGAUGCUCAGGAGCAUACAUGCUGCAAGGUGAUCCCCCUGCAGCCUGUUUCUCAAGUCAGUCUUCACCUACAAAUAGAAACAAUAUUGAGAUUGUUUCUCUCAAUUUCCUACACCAUAAUCAUUUUAAAAGUGUUUCUAGUUUGAUGAUAUAUUAUUGAAUGUCUUACCUCAGGGGUGUCCAAACUACGGCCCGGGGGCCAAAUGCGGCCCGCAGUCCAUUUUGAAUCGGCCCUCAGCAAAUUCUAAAAGUAUAAUGCAAUACGGCCCACAAAUUAAACUUUUGCUUGUCUUAUAUUGUACUUCUCAACUAUAUAUGUUAACAUAUAUUAAUGAGCCCAAUUUCAAAUAAAUUUAGUCAUUUAAAAUGUAAAACAGUUUCUAACAAAUCUUAGUUGAUAAAAAAAAAAGGCCAAUAACUUAUUUCUAUAACGAGCUUGAAAUGGAACCUUCAUAUUUACUGUUAUUAUCAGCAAUCUGAGGCUUCUGUUUUAAGGAAUGAGCUGCCAACUAAAUUAAUGAAACCUUAAAGACAAACGGGAUGUAGGCUGUUUUUUUCUGAAAGUAUUUUCAAGUAUCGUGCAUUAUUCCCCUACAUUUGAUUUGUUUUACUAACUUAUAACUUAACUUAUGAGGCAAUAUUCACCUCUAUAAGUGGCCCAGCCCUCCUUCUAUUUUUCUGUAUGUGGCCCUCGGUGAAAAAAGUUUGCACA